rnacentral:misc_RNA from 1 species
UGGGUUGGCGGGCUCUGUGCUACGGCAUCGAACCGUCCGCGCACACUUCGUUUCAAUGAUGUAGCAAGAGCCAACUUGUCCUUUUAGCAGAUUCCUGUGUAUGCUACCUACUAUAAAGGUAUGAUGCCUCUCGUUGACCCUUUCCUUCCUCGACACUUGUGUUCAGGGGGAGGACGGCAUAGCAGCACCUUUGUCCUGCAUCGUGCGUGCCUAUUGGCGCGCACCUUGCGACGGUUUACGGGUUGCUGCUUGAUGUCUCGGAUAUGGAAUAUUUGGUGGGCUUGUGGUCUUUGUACACUCGAUGUCCAAAAUUCGAAGCGUUUUGUCGCUAGGCAUGCACGAUUGCCAUGCUCGUUGCGGGAUCUCUCGCGCGGUGCUUGGUGUCGGCAAAGGAAUGCUACCUGGUU